CCUUUCGGGCGGCGCGGCGCCCGCUGCCUGCAGGCCUUUGGCACCUCCCGGAGGCCCUGUCCCUCCCCGUGUGCCUGCGGACCUCCGCGUGCGUGCGGGGGGACGGGUCUGGGUGAUGAGCUUCCUCCCCGAUGGCGACUAGGGGCCGCCGAAACCCGCGAGAAACACGCCUGCGUGUGUUGGAAAAGUUUCGGGUCGGGAGGGAAGGCUGGGAGCCUCCUCUCCCGGCCCUCGGCGGGCGCGGCUUCUCCUCGCCGGCGGCUUUUGCUCCCGGUGCCCUCCUCCCUCCCAGCCAGCCCUUCCUUCUUCGCCUCGGCCCCGCGCUCGGUGUCGCGGCCUCUCGGGCCCGGAGACGACGUGCGCGAGAAGCGGCGGCCGGGGCGCCGCGCUGCGGACGGAGGGCUAAGGAUAUUUGGCAUCGCUCCCAGCUUGCCUUUCUUUGGUCUUUCAAGUCAAGGAUGUGAAUUCGGAGGAGACGCUCUAUUUUCAGGGGCUUUGAUGUCCUUUCACCUUCCCUGUUUUAUAAAUGGCAAACCUUUCCUAAACAAGCUGUCCAUCCAACCGCCAAAACCACAGGACAAGAAUUUCUACUCAAGGGGGAAACAGCAAGAAAGAAAAAAAAGUCACCAUUCCUAGAGCAGAGUUGCUUCUGGGAAGCAAUUGCCUGGCCAGAGACUACAUUUCCCAGCCUCCCUUGCACGGAUGUGGGACUAUGGACUAGCUCUUAUCAGUGAAACAAGAGCAGAGCUGAAGAGGGUCCCAUGGGAACAGAAAGUUUUGAGGGUGUUUACUGUUUGUGCAAGAUGACUGGUUGGGUAAAGAAGUCCAAAGUUUAUCAUCUGCAGAACAAAUAAAGCCUGGGCAAAGGUAACUGAAAUGAGCAUCUCCCAUCUUGUCCCUUCAGCAUGUCUAAGGGGAUGUUUGCCCCAAGGAUUGCAUAACCGAGAACCAAAUCCAUGCAAGUCACACGGAGAGGAGGUGCCUUUUAGACUCCAACCCGUUAAAAAUAGUCACUGACGUCUAUUCUUCGUGCUUUGAUAGGCAGUUGAUGGCGGUGCCUGUACAAAAUCAUUAAAAAAAAAUCUAUUUGUGGGUGAGCUCCUUCUAACUAUCCAGGUAUUACUUGCCCAACAACAUCUGAGGGGCUGAAUUAGAAUUGCUUUCUCCUUCCCCAAAGGUAGACACAACAUGGUGCUAGGCAAAUGCUGAAAAAAGUUGACUAAUCCAGGGCUCAUCUGGACUUUCGGUGGUGGUGGUGACAAGUGACAGCAAGGACACCUGGACUGUUUUUGUGAUGACCCCAUGGUGCUCACUGACGAGUAUUCAAAAUGGACAACGUGGAGUGUGACGCUUGGCUCUCUUUUAGAAGAGAACAUCUGGGCAUAAAGGUUGAUGGAGAAGAGGGGAUGUGGUUGGGUGGUUGAGCGUAAGAACUUAUUGGGAAAAAAUGCUUUGGGUCUCAGAGAGCCUUACUGACCAAAUAUUUACUUAAUCAUUCUCAUUUUUUUGACUCUUUGUUGCUGUUUUUGUUGGAACGUGAUGUUUAUAAAGCCAGUCAAAGACGCAUUUUAUAUAGUACAGUCAUGCAGUGUGAUAAUAAACGAGCAGAAGCCAAUUAUGGAUAGAGGCUAAGUAAA
rnacentral:lncRNA from 1 species